rnacentral:tRNA from 1 species
GAGGGCAUAGCUCAAUGGUAGAGUGUGUGCCUAGCAUGCUCAAGGUCCUGGGUUCAAUCCCCAGUACCUCCA